GACAGCUUCUCACACCCCGAUACAUUCCUUUGUUGGAGGCUCCACUCUGAUCCGUUCGUUUUGCAUGAUGGAUUUUAAAUUUAAAAUUAACUAAAAUUAUCUUUCCAAUUACUAAUUACCAUAUACAAUGAUUUCAAAUGAAGAGUCAGGUUGCCAUUAAAAAAUGAGUUUGUGAGCUCAUAAGUUUGAAAGUUUGGAAGAUUUAGCGUGUAAAGAGCAUUAGAUGAUCAUCUAAUAGAAAUUAAACUACACACAAAGGCUGAGAGAGGUUUCAAAAUGAGUUAUUAAGUAUGUAUGUGGAGGAAUACAGCAGUACUGAGGGGGUAAAGUCACAGAAAUUUCUAGAACUCUCUGUUCUGCUUAUAGUGUAUUUAGUUUCUAGGGAUACAACACAGCUCAGCUGUAUAAAAGAAAAUGAGAUAUUUAUUGGUUCAUAAACCUAAAGACUCUGUGUGUGUGUGUGUGUGUGUGUGUGUGUGUGUGUGUGUGUAAGACAUUCGAGGGUGAGUGGAUCCAGAUCUGAAGUGGCUUCACUGAGAGGUCUGCCUGACUGUUCUGUGAGAUCCCUUUUUUCUUUUCUUCUCACAGACUCUGCAGGAUGGAAAUUUCCCUGACAGAACCUGUGUCCUCAAAGCUGAAGAAGCCCAGUGAUUUAUUCCAGCAACGGCUGGCUCAUAGGUCUCUCAGUUUCUCCCCAUUCUGCUUCAGAAUGAAUACUCUCAUCAUGUGCAAUUUGUGUGUUUCAAGUCUUGACUGGCAUAUUUCAACUACACGUAAGUUCCGUGAUAUUUCAACAGUUUAAUUCACAAUGAUCCAUUUGCCUGCAAAAUUCAUGAUGUCCUCAUUUUUAGCUGAAUACUAUUCAAUUGUGUAAAUGAACCACAUUUUCUGUAUCCAUUCUUCAGAUGAGAGACAUCUAGAUUGUUUCCAACUUCUGGCUAUUACAAACAAGACUGCUAUAAACUCAGUGGAGCAUGUGUCUUGUGGUAAGAUAGAGCAUCUUUUGGAUAUAUUCCCAGGAGUGGUAUAGCUGGGUCUUCAGGAAGAGCUAUUUCCAAUUUUCUGAGGAACUGUCAUAUUGAUUUCCAGAGGGGUUGUAGCAGUUUGCAAUUCCACCAGCUAUGAAGGAGUGUUCCUCUUUCUCCACAUCUUUGCCAGCAUGGGCUGUUGCUUGAUUUCUUGAUCUUAGCCAUUCUGAUUGGUGUGAGGUGGAAUCUCAGGGUCGUUUUGAUUUGCAUUUCCCUGAUGAUUAAGGAUAUCGAACAGUUCUUUAAGUGCUUCUCAGCCCUCAAGACAAAUGCAGACACUUAGAGCUAACCUUGGAUUGAGGGUGGGGAUCCCUAGAGAAGAGUUAGGGGAAGGACUGAAGGAACUGAAGGGGAUUGCAACCCCAUAGGAAUAGCAGCCGUGUCAACUAACCCAGACCCCUCAGAGUUCCCAGAGACUACACCAAGGAGCAUACAUGGGCUGGAUCGUGCCCACCCUCCCAACCCAGCCCCCUCUGGCACAUGUACAGCAGAGGACUGCCUUCUAUGCCUCAGUGGAAGAGGAUGUGCUUAGUCCCAUGGAAGCUUGAUAUCCCAGGGGAAAGAGAUGC
rnacentral:lncRNA from 1 species